AUACGGAGGGGGCUAGCGUUGUUCGGAAUUACUGGGCGUAAAGCGCGCGUAGGCGGAUCGUUAAGUCAGGGGUGAAAGCCCGGAGCUCAACUCCGGAACUGCCCUUGAUACUGGCGAUCUCGAGUCAGGGAGAGGUGAGCGGAAUUCCUAGUGUAGAGGUGAAAUUCGUAGAUAUUAGGAGGAACACCAGUGGCGAAGGCGGCUCACUGGCCCGGUACUGACGCUGAGGUGCGAAAGCGUGGGGAGCAAACAGGAUUAGAUACCCUAGUAGUCC
rnacentral:rRNA from 1 species